AGAAGACAAUUGAGGCUUGAUUUUCUUGACCUCUCCAUAAAACGAUUGCCUCACCUAUAUACAUAGCCCAGAACUUCCACACAAAAAGCACCCUGCCCUGCCUGCCUCCAUAUUCUCUACCUCUUUCUAUUUGCAUAGCUCCAUCCUUUCCUUUUACCUUAAGAGAUUGGUGAUACAAAUAGUGGGAAAUAAAAGGGGUUAGGGAGUCUUGUCGCAGGAGCGGUGGCAUCUGCACGCCUUUGUAUAAACUAGGUGUUUGCAAGUGCCAGCGUCCUAUGACAAGAUUCCCUACAACUUCUAUCCUCUCCUCUGUCAACAUCUCUUUUCUUGAUAGUUUCUCAACUUUCUCAUUAAUGCAGUAUAUGGAAAAGAAUAUCAAGACAUCAGAGAAGAUGCAGUAUGCCGAAACCUAAAUUAUAAUAGAAGGCCUCCAAGAUAUUGUACAUGAGGACAUGUAGACAUUAAUAUGAUUAAUCUUUCAUGUACUAAUUAUUAAGACAUUUUUAACAUAAUACAAGUGAAACUCGAAGCACUUUAUUA